AGACCUAUGAAGGUCGAAGGGGAAGAAAAGCUGUAUCGAUUGUUGAGAUCUGGCGACUUGUUUAAAUUUCAUCAGCCUCACUUCUAUGAACUCUCAGGCCUCACGUGUACCAGCUCUCUGCUCUCCUUUGCCUUGGGACGUUCCAUCCCUGGAAGUUUCCCUGCCCACAUCUUUGUAGAGAGUCCAUUCUCCAAGCUUCAGUGUGUCAUCUGUGAGGACCGUGACCCACCUGGUACAUCGCCUCAGGGCAUUCAUUUCAGGCUCCUUCUAAAUGGCCAAGUCUUCUGCCAGCCUAACAAGCAUAGCAAGAAGAUAUAGCCCCACAACCACUUUAUGCACAAAGUUAGAAGCAUAAAAUCUCAUGGAAGGAGACCGAUUAUCUACAGAAGAGGUUGUCUUGCCAUUUCUCUCAUGUUAGAGGUAAACCUCAGGUUCUCCUCCUGCCUUUUGCUAAGUAUAUGUCUUGAUGACAAGCCUUCUGCUGAUGAGCUGUGUUUCUGGACCGAUCAUGGUAGAAGUCAAUUAACGUGUCCCUCACUUGGGGUUUCUCAAGGCUGCACUGAUGAGGAAACUGAAACAGAAAAUCCAGAGUAAAUUCCACCAGGCCACACAGCAAGGUCUGAUAGAGCCAGGAGAGACUUUAUGAAAUCCAGACUCUCACACUAAUGCUCUAUCAGCUAGACCUCCAUGUGAGUCUCCCCAAUGUAGGUAGGAAGUGCUUUCCCUAAAAUGCUCAUAAAGCAAAUCAGAGCAAUGCUGCAUUCCAUGUGAUUUCUAAUUUGAAAUGCAAACAAUUGCCAAUUUGUUUGACUUGUAUUUAUAAUUAUUUCCUUGUGAAUUACUCAUCACUAAAUGCUUUAUAAAUAUUUUCUCUUUUUUUCCUCAAUGUCUAUGGAAUGAUCACAGCAUAGAAAAUGUUGGCUUUCAAGGAUUUAUUAAUAUCUCCUUUUGAAAUAACAUGUAUUUGUAAGACAGAAUAAAAUCACUUUAAAGAAACAAA
rnacentral:lncRNA from 1 species